GCUUUAAUAAUUUAAAAUUAAAAUAUUGGUCUUGUAAACCAAAUCUAUGAGACAUAAUUCAUUUGUAGCU
rnacentral:tRNA from 1 species